rnacentral:tRNA from 1 species
CCCUGGUUAGUUCAUUUGGCAGAGCGCUCCACUGGAUAUGGAGAGGUCCCUGGUUCUAUACCAGGACUAGGUG